UACGUAGGGGGCUAGCGUUGUCCGGAUUUAUUGGGCGUAAAGAGCGUGUAGGCGGCCAGGUAGGUCUGCUGUGAAAACUCGAGGCUCAACCUCGAGACGUCGGCGGAAACCAUCUGGCUAGAGUCCGGAAGAGGAGAGUGGAAUUCCUGGUGUAGCGGUGAAAUGCGCAGAUAUCAGGAGGAACACCUAUGGCGAAGGCAGCUCUCUGGGACGGUACUGACGCUGAGACGCGAAAGCGU
rnacentral:rRNA from 1 species